rnacentral:rRNA from 1 species
GGCUUGGCGUGUUUUAAAAGGACGUCGGUUCUAUUUUGUUGGUUUUGUAGAGCAUUGAGGUAAUGAUUAAUAGGGACAGACGGGGGCAUUCGUAUUGCGGUGUUAGAGGUGAAAUUCUUGGAUCGCCGCAAGACGAACAACUGCGAAAGCAUUUGCCAAGAAUGUUUUCAUUAAUCAAGAACGAAAGUUGGAGGUUCGAAGACGAUUAGAUACCGUCCUAGUUCCAACCAUAAACGAUGCCAACUAGCGAUUAGCUGAUGUUAUUUAAACGACACAGCUAGCAGCUUCCGGGAAACCAAAGUUUUUGGGUUCCGGGGGAAGUAUGGUUGCAAAGCUGAAACUUAAAGGAAUUGACGGAAGGGCACCACCAGGAGUGGAGCCUGCGGCUUAAUUUGAC